ACAGGCUUAACACAUGCAAGUCGAGGGGCAGCAUGGUCUUAUCUUGCUAAGGCCGAUGGCGACCGGCGCACGGGUGAGUAACACGUAUCCAACCUGCCGUCUACUCUUGGACAGCCUUCUGAAAGGAAGAUUAAUACAAGAUGGCAUCAUGAGUCCGCAUGUUCACAUGAUUAAAGGUAUUCCGGUAGACGAUGGGGAUGCGUUCCAUUAGAUAGUAGGCGGGGUAACGGCCCACCUAGUCUUCGAUGGAUAGGGGUUCUGAGAGGAAGGUCCCCCACAUUGGAACUGAGACACGGUCCAAACUCCUACGGGAGGCAGCAGUGAGGAAUAUUGGUCAAUGGGCGAGAGCCUGAACCAGCCAAGUAGCGUGAAGGAUGACUGCCCUAUGGGUUGUAAACUUCUUUUAUAAAGGAAUAAAGUCGGGUAUGGAUACCCGUUUGCAUGUACUUUAUGAAUAAGGAUCGGCUAACUCCGUGCCAGCAGCCGCGGUAAUACGGAGGAUCCGAGCGUUAUCCGGAUUUAUUGGGUUUAAAGGGAGCGUAGAUGGAUGUUUAAGUCAGUUGUGAAAGUUUGCGGCUCAACCGUAAAAUUGCAGUUGAUACUGGAUAUCUUGAGUGCAGUUGAGGCAGGCGGAAUUCGUGGUGUAGCGGUGAAAUGCUUAGAUAUCACGAAGAACUCCGAUUGCGAAGGCAGCCUGCUAAGCUGCAACUGACAUUGAGGCUCGAAAGUGUGGGUAUCAAACAGGAUUAGAUACCCUGGUAGUCCACACGGUAAACGAUGAAUACUCGCUGUUUGCGAUAUACUGCAAGCGGCCAAGCGAAAGCGUUAAGUAUUCCACCUGGGGAGUACGCCGGCAACGGUGAAACUCAAAGGAAUUGACGGGGGCCCGCACAAGCGGAGGAACAUGUGGUUUAAUUCGAUGAUACGCGAGGAACCUUACCCGGGCUUAAAUUGCAGAUGAAUUACGGUGAAAGCCGUAAGCCGCAAGGCAUCUGUGAAGGUGCUGCAUGGUUGUCGUCAGCUCGUGCCGUGAGGUGUCGGCUUAAGUGCCAUAACGAGCGCAACCCUUGUUGUCAGUUACUAACAGGUUCCGCUGAGGACUCUGACAAGACUGCCAUCGUAAGAUGUGAGGAAGGUGGGGAUGACGUCAAAUCAGCACGGCCCUUACGUCCGGGGCUACACACGUGUUACAAUGGGGGGUACAGAGGGCCGCUACCACGCGAGUGGAUGCCAAUCCCCAAAACCUCUCUCAGUUCGGACUGGAGUCUGCAACCCGACUCCACGAAGCUGGAUUCGCUAGUAAUCGCGCAUCAGCCACGGCGCGGUGAAUACGUUCCCGGGCCUUGUACACACCGCCCGUCAAGCCAUGGGAGCCGGGGGUACCUGAAGUGCGUAACCGCGAGGAGCGCCCUAGGGUAAAACUGGUGACUG
rnacentral:rRNA from 1 species